rnacentral:lncRNA from 10 species
GGGGUGAUAUUGUGGGGAUGUUAGAAGAAACAUUUGUCAUAUAGAAUGAUUGGUGAUGGCCUGGAUACGGUUUUGGAUGAAUUGAGAAACUAAAUGGAAUAACAGAAGGAGAAAAACAGGUAUAAAAGGUCUAAGAAUUGGGAGGACCUAGGACAUCUGAUUAGAGAGUGCCUAAGGAGAUUCAGCGUAGUCCUGCCAGCAAAGAUUAUUUAUUUACUUCAAGAGUUUAGAGUGGCAGUUUGGGGAUAGCACCAGGAGAUAUCAGCUGUGAUGGCUUGGAGAAACAGUGUAAACCAGCAGUGUAAACAAGAGCAGGGCAUGUAUGAGUAGUUGAGAACGGUGAAUAGGAGUAUGACUAGACAAAAGAUAGUAGGGACGACAAGUUUUUUGGGGGCACAGUCUAAGUUGGUCUGGUGUCGAAUGAGACUGGGGCCUAAUAAAAAAGAGUGUCUACACAGGAGUUUAAAUGGGCUGUACCUUGCAACAUUCUGAGGACAGGCCUGAAUUCUGAGAAGCAAAGGGGUAAUUGUCCAGUCCUUUUUAAGUUGGUGGCUGAGCUUGGUGAGGUGUGUUUUUAAAAGACCUUUAGUCCGUUCUACUUUUCUUGAAGACGGAGGACCGUAAGGGAUAUAAAAGUUUCACUGAAUACUAAGAGCCUGAAAAACUGCUUGGCUGAUUUGACUAAUAAAUGCUGGUCUGUUGUCAGACUGUAUAGAGGUGGGAAGGCUAAACUGAGGAAUUAUGUCUGACAGAGGGGAAGAAAUGACUGUGGUGGCCUUCUCAGACCCUGUAGGAAGGGCCUUUACUUAUUCAGUGAAAGUGUCUAUUUAGACUAAGAGGUAUUUUAGUUUCCUGACUCGGGACAUGUUGAGUAAAGCUAAUUUGCCAGUCCUGGGUGGGGGCAAAUCCUCGAGCUUGAUGUGUAGGGAAGGGAGGGGGCCUGAAUAAUCCCUGAGGAGUAGUAGAAUAGCAGAUGGAACACUGAGAAGUUAUUUCCUUGAGGAUAGAUUUCCACGAUGGAAAGGAAAUGAGAGGUUCUGAGAGGCGGGCUAGUGGCUUGUAGUAUAGCAUAGCCUGCCUUUGCUGGUGUGUGGCAAUUAGGCCUGGUGGAACUGCCAUCAAUAAAUCAAGCGUGAUCAGGGUGAGGAACAGGAAAGAAGGAAAUAUGGGGAAAUGGGGUGAAUAUCAGGUGGAUCAGAGAGAUACAGUCAUGGGGGUCAGGUGUGGUAUCAGGAAUAAUGUGGGAGGCCAGAUUGAAGUCCAGGCCAGGAACAAUGGUAAUUGUGGGACUUAAAGAGUGAGGACAGCUGAAGGAGCCGGGGAGCAGAAUGUAUAUGCGUCAGGUAUGAGGAAGAAAAUAGAUUUUGGAAGUUAUGAGAACUGUAGAGAGUGAGUUGAGCAUAGUUUGUGAUUUUGAGGGCCUCUAACAGUAUUAAAGCAGCGACAGCCGCUGCACGCAGACAUGAGGGCUAGGCUAAAACAGUAAGGUCAAGUUGUUUGGACAGAAAGGCUACACGGUGUGGUCCUGGCUCUUGUGUAAGAAUUCUGACUGCGCUAACCAUGCCUAGGAAGGAAAGGAGUUGUUUUCUAGAAGGUGCCGGGGUUUGAGAGAUCAGUCGGACACGAUUGGCAGGGAGAGCACGUGUGUUUUUAUGAGAAUUAUGCUGAGAUAAGUAACAGAUGAGGAAGAAAUUUGGGCUUGAUUGAAGUAAUGGGGGCUGUCUGUGAAGCUUUGCGGCAGUACAGUCUAGGUAAUUUGCUGAGCAUGAUGGGUGUCAGGGUCAGUCCAAGUGAAAGCGAAGAGAGGCUGGGAUUAAGGGUGCAAAGGAAUAGUAAAGAAAGCACGUUUGAGAUCUAGAACAGAAUAAUGGAUUGUGGAGGGAGGUAUUGAGGAUAGGAGAGUAUAUGGGUUUGGCACCAUGGGGUAGAUAGGCAAAACAAUUUGGUUGAUAAGGCAUAGAUCCUGAACUAACUUGUAAGGCUUGUCUGGUUUUAGGACAGGUAAAAUGGGGGAAUUGUAAGGAGAGUUUAUAGGCUUUAAAAGGCCAUGCUGCGGCAGGCAAGUGAUAACAGGCUUUAAUCCUUUCAAAGCAUGCUGUGGGAUGGGAUAUUGGCAUUGAGCGGGGUAAGGGUGAUUAGGUUUUAAUGAGAUGGUAAGGGGUGUAUGAUUGGUCGCCAAGGAGGGAGUAGAGGUAUCUUAUACUUAUGGGUUAAGGUGGGGGGAUACAAGAGGAGGACGCAAAGGAGGCUUUGGAUUGGGAAGAAGGGCGGCAAUGAGAUGCAGCUGUAAUCCAGGAAUAGUCAGGGAAGCAGAUAAUUUGGUUAAAAUAUCUCGGCCUAAUAAGGGAACUGGGCAGGUGGAGAUAACUAAAAAAGAGUGCAUAAAAGAGUGUUGUCUAAGUUGGCACCAGAGUUGGGGAGUUUUAAGAGGUUUAGAAGCCUGGCUGUCAAUACCCAUAACAGUUAUGGAGGCAAGGGAAACAGGCUCUUGAAAAGAAGGUAAUGUGGAGUGGGUAGCCUCCAUAUUGAUUAAGAAGAGGACGGACUUACUUUCCACUGUGAGAGUUACCUAAAGCUCGGCGUCCGUGAUAGUCUACGGGGCUUCCAAGGCAAUCAGGCAGCGUCAGUCUUCAGCUGCUAAGCCAAGAAGGAGUCAGUCAGAGAGCCUUGGGCCAGAGUUCCAGGGGUUCUGGGAGCGGCUGCCAGUUAAAAUCCACGUUGGUUAAUUUGGG